UACGUAGGUGGCGAGCGUUAUCCGGAUUUACUGGGCGUAAAGCGCUUGUAGGCGGCUUGUUAAGUCCUGUGUGAAAGCCCUUGGCUUAACCAAGGAAGUGCGCAGGAAACUGGCGAGCUUGAGUGCCGGAGAGGGUCGCGGAAUUCCCGGUGUAGAGGUGAAAUUCGUAGAUAUCGGGAGGAACACCAGUGGCGAAGGCGGCGACCUGGACGGACACUGACGCUGAGACGCGAAAGCGUGGGGAGCAAACAGG
rnacentral:rRNA from 1 species